rnacentral:misc_RNA from 1 species
GUAGGUGAACCUGCGGAAGGAUCAUUAACACGUUUUUUCCAACGUUUUUGACCCAUUCUAUUUUCUGUGCACCAAUCAUGCGUCCGGCCUCCCAGCCGCCUGUCGAGUUUACUCGGCGUGGCCUGUUGGGCGUCUUUGGGAUCAAAGGAAAGUGGGGGAGUGCGUCUCGGCGCGUCUCUCCUGCUGGCCUCCCUCUGGCGUUGCCACCUCACCCAAACCCUUUAAUCUAAUCUAUCUGAACUUUUAGUUGAAGAGUCUUUUCGGAGACUUGACAACGACACAAAACAAAACAACAACUCUUAACAACGGAUAUCUUGGUUCUC